UGUAGCUAUCAUAACCUUGCUAAAACAUGCAGGGUUUUAUCUACUGGGGGGGGGGUGGGGGGAAGGUUCUACCCCAAACUCAAUAUCUUCCCCCCCAAAAUUUUAAUGAAAAUUUACAUAAAGUGUACAUAAAGUGUACAUGAUUGCUCUGUAAAUUACAAAUUUAUUGAAUAGAACCCUG